GGACGAACGCUGGCGGCGUGCCUAAUACAUGCAAGUCGAACGCUUCUUUCCUCCCGAGUGCUUGCACUCAAUUGGAAAGAGGAGUGGCGGACGGGUGAGUAACACGUGGGUAACCUACCCAUCAGAGGGGGAUAACACUUGGAAACAGGUGCUAAUACCGCAUAACAGUUUAUGCCGCAUGGCAUAAGAGUGAAAGGCGCUUUCGGGUGUCGCUGAUGGAUGGACCCGCGGUGCAUUAGCUAGUUGGUGAGGUAACGGCUCACCAAGGCCACGAUGCAUA
rnacentral:rRNA from 1 species